rnacentral:rRNA from 1 species
GACGAACGCUGGCGGCGUGCUUAACACAUGCAAGUGGAGCGACGAACCAGGGCUUGCCCUGGGGCAAAGCCGCGAACGGGUGAGUAACACGUGGGUAACCUGCCCCGAUGACCGGGACAACCCGAGGAAACUCGGGCUAAUACCGGAUAUGCCCAUGGGCCAUCAGGUCUGUGUGCACAGGAAGCUUCGGCCUCCGCUUCGGGAUGGGCCCGCGGCCCAUUAGCUUGUUGGUGGGGUAAUGGCCUACCAAGGCGAUGAUGGGUAGCUGGUCUGAGAGGACGAUCAGCCACACUGGGACUGAGACACGGCCCAGACUCCUACGGGAGGCAGCAGUGGGGAAUCUUGCGCAAUGCGCGAAAGCGUGACGCAGCGACGCCGCGUGGGGGAAGAAGGCUUUCGGGUUGUAAACCCCUUUCAGUUGGGACGAAGCUCUGCCAGUUAAUAGCUGGUUGGAGUGACGGUACCUUCAGAAGAAGCCCCGGCUAACUACGUGCCAGCCGCCGCGGUAAGAC